rnacentral:lncRNA from 1 species
AUGCCGGAGGCUUGGUCCCAUUUCUCUUCAGAUCAACAGAAAAAAAAAAACCACUGCUGUCCCCGGCAGUCCGAGGGAAGCUUCAGCAUCAUCCAUCACAAUUUUGGCACUGCAGCCACCCUCGCACAGAUUGCGUUUCCGAGGAGGGUCGCGGGGGAAUGGAAGAGGAGGCAGGCAGGGGCAAACUUCACAGACUGGCAAUCCGAACGCUGGAAGUCGGGCGUACACGCAGGGCUUCGUUUCCACCCGGCGCAUUGUUUUGUUUCCGUGAGGGAUCGCCUUCAUUCACUUGAAAGGAAAACAGCCUCCCUCCGCAUCCCGCGCCGCCUCGCCGCCGGCUGCUUUUGGGGGACGUGGGUCGCCCGCGGCUCCCACAUCCGCACCGCAAUCGGACAGGAAAGCAGGGCUGCCUGCCCCCCGAAACCCACCCACGGAGGGCUCCGCGGACCUCCCCACCGCCCCCCUGCCCUCAACCAUCCUCCCCCAGCCUGUCCCACUGCCUCCCUCGCCAAAACCCAAGUUUGCGAGGGGACGAGCACCAAGCGCACCCAGGGGUGGGCGAGGGCCCCCCACGCGUGGGCGGGACCCUCGCCGCCCCCCCGUGCCCCCUGCUGCCUCCACACCCCGGCCUCCCGGUGCCCCCCGCCCCCGCUGCCGGCGGGGGGGGGCAGCAGGAGGGGCUGCGCGCCUAAUUUUGGGGGGUUUCUGUUAUCAUUUUUUUGGACACGCACACGGGUGGGUCGCCUACCUGCAGGUGCCCGUCCGCAGGGUCGGUGCGGAGCCGCCUGUGCAGCACCAGGAGGGGGUUUGGGGGGGCGGGGGGGGGGGGGGGCAGCGGGGGGCUGCGCCUUCCUCCUCCUCCUCCUCCUCCUCCUCCUCCUCCUCGCCCCCGCGCGUGUCCGUGCCCGUGUGCGCUGCCGCCGGAGGAGGCAGGGACGGGCUGCGGCGGCUGUCAGCUACCGGAAACCGGAGCCGGGUCGCACACACCGCAGGAAGUGUGCAAGAGCACACCCGCACACGGCGCGGGCACGGGGAGGGGGCGGCUCGGACACCGGGCCGGGAGGGGAGGGAGGAGGAGGAGGAGGAAGGGGGGAGGGGGUGGUGAGGGGCGGGCAGCGGCGGGGUCGUCCCGGGAGCCGGGUGAGGAGUUAA